rnacentral:rRNA from 1 species
UACGUAGGGUGCAAGCGUUGUCCGGAAUUAUUGGGCGUAAAGAGCUCGUAGGCGGUUUGUCGCGUCUGCUGUGAAAACCCGAGGCUCAACCUCGGGCCUGCAGUGGGUACGGGCAGACUAGAGUGCGGUAGGGGGAGAUUGGAAUUCCUGGUGUAGCGGUGGAAUGCGCAGAUAUCAGGAGGAACACCGAUGGCGAAGGCAGAUCUCUGGGCCGUAACUGACGCUGAGGAGCGAAAGCGUGGGGGAGCGAACAGG